rnacentral:rRNA from 1 species
AUUGAACGCUGGCGGCAGGCCUAACACAUGCAAGUCGAGAGGAGCGGCGAACGGGUGGGUAAUGCCUAGGAAUCUGCCUGGGAGUGGGGGAUACCGUCCGGAAACGUGCGCUAAUACCGCAUACUAUCAGAUUAGCCUAGGUCGGAUUAGCUAGUUGUUUGGGUAAAGGCCUACCAAGGCGACGAUCCGUAACUGGUCUGAGAGGAUGAUCAGUCACACUGGAACUGAGACACGGUCCAGACUCCUACGGGAGUGAGCAGUGGGGAAUAUUGGACAAUGGGCGAAAGUCUGAUCCAGCCAUGCCGCGUGUGUGAAGCAGGUAAUCAGAUUUUAAAGCACUUUAAGUUGGGAGGCGUUCCCAACAGAAUAAGCACCGGCUAACUUCGUGCCAGCAGCCGCGGUAAUAC